CAGGCACCGCGGCGCCCCCGCCGCCGAGGACGCGCGUGCGUCGUCACGUGCCCCGCCAGGAGUACCGCGGGCGGGGAAAUCAGCCAGUGGGGCGUCCGGGAUUUCCAUGACAACGGAGGGCGGGGGGCGGGGGGCGGGGGACUUGGGAGCGGAGGAAGGGCGGAGAAUGAGGCUUAGGUGGGAAGAUAGCAGCGGUUGCUACAAUGGAAAAAAAAAAAAAAAAAAAAAAGAACACCUUUCCUUUGCGCAAGCUUAAAGCAGCCAGAUCCUCCUCCAGGUGUUUGGUACUUUACUUCAAAGGCUAGUCUGCAGCACCUGAACUCCAAGAACAUCGAUCCAGCUCUCUCUUUACAAGUCAGGAAACAAUAGGCCAGGUGACGCUCAAUGACUUGCUCGAGACAGCUAGCAAAGGCAAAUACCGACGUGCAGCCCAGCUCAAAUUCCCAGCCACCACACCUGUGAACUCCCUUGGACAAGGAUUUAGAAUUCAGCAGCAGCAUAAAGACACAGGAAUAAAGCCACGACAAAGAUAACUGGCGUUCCCACAGCCUUCAAGCUAACUGGGACAGAUAUUGGCCAGUAUCAACAUAAAUCAGCUUGAGUUCAGAGAAUUCAAGAUUCAGGAAUAAACAUACAGAUUUUUUUUCUACUUUCUCAUCCUUAUUACAAUGUAAACACCCU